CCUACGGGGGGCAGCAGUGAGGAAUAUUGGUCAAUGGACGAGAGUCUGAACCAGCCAAGUAGCGUGAAGGAUGACUGCCCUAUGGGUUGUAAACUUCUUUUAUAUGGGAAUAAAACGUUCCACGUGUGGGAUUUUGUAUGUACCAUAUGAAUAAGGAUCGGCUAACUCCGUGCCAGCAGCCGCGGUAAUACGGAGGAUCCGAGCGUUAUCCGGAUUUAUUGGGUUUAAAGGGAGCGUAGGUGGAUUGUUAAGUCAGUUGUGAAAGUUUGCGGCUCAACCGUAAAAUUGCAGUUGAUACUGGCAGUCUUGAGUACAGUAGAGGUGGGCGGAAUUCGUGGUGUAGCGGUGAAAUGCUUAGAUAUCACGAAGAACUCCGAUUGUGAAGGCAGUUCACUGGACUGCAACUGACACUGAGGCUCGAAAGUGUGGGUAUCAAACAGGAUUAGAUACCCUUGUAGUC
rnacentral:rRNA from 1 species